rnacentral:rRNA from 1 species
GACGAACGCUGGCGGCGUGCUUAACACAUGCAAGUCGAACGAUGAAGCUAGAGCUUGCUCUGGUGGAUUAGUGGCGAACGGGUGAGUAACACGUGAGUAACCUGCCCCGAACUCUGGGAUAGCUGCUGGAAACGGUAGCUAAUACCGGAUAUGACCAAUGAAGGCAUCUUCUGUUGGUGGAAAGAAUUUCGGUUCGGGAUGGACUCGCGGCCUAUCAGCUUGUUGGUGAGGUAACGGCUCACCAAGGCGACGACGGGUAGCCGGCCUGAGAGGGUGAUCGGCCACACUGGGACUGAGACACGGCCCAGACUCCUACGGGAGGCAGCAGUGGGGAAUAUUGUACAAUGGGCGCAAGCCUGAUGCAGCAACGCCGCGUGAGGGAUGACGGCCUUCGGGUUGUAAACCUCUUUUAGUAGGGAAGAAGCGAAAGUGACGGUACCUGCAGAAAAAGCACCGGCUAACUACGUGCCAGCCGCCGCAGUAA